rnacentral:rRNA from 1 species
UACGUAGGGGGCUAGCGUUGUCCGGAUUUAUUGGGCGUAAAGAGCGUGUAGGCGGCCAGGUAGGUCUGGUGUGAAAACUCGAGGCUUAACCUCGAGAUGUCAUCGGAAACCAUUUGGCUAGAGUCCGGAAGAGGAGAGUGGAAUUCCUGGUGUAGCGGUGAAAUGCGCAGAUAUCAGGAAGAACACCCGUGGCGAAGGCGGCUCUCUGGGACGGUACUGACGCUGAGGAGCGAAAGCGUGGGGAGCGAACAGG